rnacentral:rRNA from 1 species
CCCGCUGAACUUAAGCAUAUCAAUAAGGCGAGGAACAGAAACCAACCGGGAUUCCCCCAGUAGUGGCGAAUGAAGCGGGAAAAGCUCAAGUUUGAAAUCUGGCUUCCGUCAGAGUUGUAAGCUGAAGAGGCUUCGACCGAUGUGGCUCGGGCUCAGUUCCCUUGGGAUAGGGAGUCAUGGAGGGUGAGAACCCCGUUCGUGGCCUGGCAGCCUUCAUCCUUGUGUCGUUUCCUCGAAGAGUCGGGUUGUUUGGGAAUGCAGCUCAAAAUGGGUGGUAAAUUUCAUCUAAAGCUAAAUAUUGGCGAGAGACCGAUAGCAAACAAGUAGAGUAAUCGAAAGAUGAAAAGUACUUUGAAAAGAGAGUGAAACAGUGCGUGAAAUUGUUGAAAGGGAACCGUUUGGUAUCAGCCCAUGGCCAUCUCUGAUCAUCCGGGCUUCUGUCUGGUGCACUCGGAGGUGGUCGGGCCAGCGUCGACUUUGCCUGCUGGAGAAAGGUCCGGGGAACGUGGCUCUUCACGGAGUGUUAUAGCCCUGGGCGUCAUGCGGCAUGGCGGGGUCGAGGUCUGCGGUCUUCCUAGGACGCUGGCGUAAUGGUCCCAAGCGACCCGUCUUGAAACACGG